UACGUAGGGUGCAAGCGUUGUCCGGAAUUAUUGGGCGUAAAGAGCUCGUAGGCGGUUUGUCGCGUCGAAUGUGAAAACCCGGGGCUCAACUCCGGGCCUGCAUUCGAUACGGGCAGACUAGAGUUCGGUAGGGGAGACUGGAAUUCCUGGUGUAGCGGUGAAAUGCGCGGAUAUCAGGAGGAACACCGGUGGCGAAGGCGGGUCUCUGGGCCGAUACUGACGCUGAGGAGCGAAAGCGUGGGGAGCGAACAGG
rnacentral:rRNA from 1 species